rnacentral:rRNA from 1 species
UACAGAGGGUGCGAGCGUUAAUCGGAAUUACUGGGCGUAAAGCGUGCGUAGACGGUUAUUUAAGUCGGGUGUGAAAGCCCCGGGCUCAACCUGGGAAUUGCAUUCGAGACUGAAUAGCUAGGGUACGGUAGAGGGAAGUGGAAUUUCCGGUGUAGCGGUGAAAUGCGUAGAGAUGUGGAGGAACACCAGUGGCGAAGGCGGCUCACUGGUCCGGUACUGACGCUGAGGUGCGAAAGCGUGGGGAGCAAACAGG